rnacentral:misc_RNA from 1 species
AAGUCGUAACAAGGUCUCCGUAGGUGAACCUGCGGAGGGAUCAUUACACAAAUAUGAAGGCGGGCUGGAACCUCUCGGGGUUACAGCCUUGCUGAAUUAUUCACCCUUGUCUUUUGCGUACUUCGUGUUUCCUUGGUGGGUUCGCCCACCACUAGGACAAACAUAAACCUUUUGUAAUUGCAAUCAGCGUCAGUAACAAAUUAAUAAUUACAACUUUCAACAACGGAUCUCUUGGUUCUG